GACGAACGCUGGCGGCGUGCCUAAUACAUGCAAGUUGAGCGCUGAAGGUUGGUACUUGUACCAACUGGAUGAGCAGCGAACGGGUGAGUAACGCGUGGGGAAUCUGCCUUUGAGCGGGGGACAACAUUUGGAAACGAAUGCUAAUACCGCAUAAAAACUUUAAACACAAGUUUUAAGUUUGAAAGAUGCAAUUGCAUCACUCAAAGAUGAUCCCGCGUUGUAUUAGCUAGUUGGUGAGGUAAAGGCUCACCAAGGCGAUGAUACAUAGCCGACCUGAGAGGGUGAUCGGCCAAAUUGGGAAUGAGACACGGCCCAAACUCCUACGGGAGGCAGCAGUAGGGAAUCUUCGGCAAUGGACGAAAGUCUGACCGAGCAACGCCGCGUGAGUGAAGAAGGGUUUCGGAUCGUAAAACUCUGCUGGUAGAGAAGAACGUUGGUGAGAGUGGAAAGCUCAUCAAGUGACGGUAACUACCCAGAAAGGGACGGCUAACUACGUG
rnacentral:rRNA from 1 species